rnacentral:rRNA from 1 species
UACGUAGGGGGCUAGCGUUGUCCGGAAUCAUUGGGCGUAAAGCGCGUGUAGGCGGUCCGGUAAGUCCGCUGUGAAAGUCGGGGGCUCAACCCUCGGAUGCCGGUGGAUACUGUCGGGCUUGAGUACGGAAGAGGCGAGUGGAAUUCCUGGUGUAGCGGUGAAAUGCGCAGGUAUCAGGAGGAACACCAAUUGCGAAGGCAGCUCGCUGGGACGUUACUGACGCUGAGACGCGAAAGCUAGGGGAGCGAAUGGG